GUUGAAGGAGGUUCGAUUAAAAUCGCUGCAUCAUGCAGCGAUUUUAAUCGAACUGACCUACCUCCCGUAGG
rnacentral:sRNA from 1 species